rnacentral:ncRNA from 2 species
ACAGCGGCACAAGAUGUAUGCUCGUGCUCGCUGUCGCCGCAGGGGAAUCCGGUGCGAAUCCGGAGCUGUCCCGCAACGGUGAGAGCGCCGUACGCGGCCCUUCCCCACGGUCCGUUCGUGCGCGCGCUUAAGUCCGAUGACCUGCCGACGGUACGUCCGCACC